rnacentral:pre_miRNA from 1 species
UGAUACAGUUUAGGACCAUAUUCACUAUUUGAUGAUUAACAAAAUAUGAUCAUCACCUUUUACUCUUUGAGCAAGUAGUGAAAAUGGUUCUAAAUUGUUUUGGA